AGCUGCCCUGGGUAUAGGGGGCCAACCGGCCAGCAGACGGCAUCCCUCCCGCUCUGCCCCUCCGGCUCCCCUCCGGACCCCGGGGUCCGGCCAUCCCAGCCCCUCCCCGGCCCUGGGGGACCCCUCCCCGCGCUCCGCCCGCCAUGGCUUCAAGGAUACUCUACGAACUGCACAGGGGCCUUGGACAUCGGGAAGGCCACCACCAUGGCUGCAACUGGGAAUUCUGUAAACCGUUGGACUGAGGCACAGAGAAGGGAAGUGACUUGCCCACAGUCACACAGCUGAC